rnacentral:rRNA from 1 species
UAGUCGUACCGGCGGAUAAUCAGCCUUUCGGGUGCGAUUCUGUGGGGCGUGAGGAGCUUAACCGCCUUCAUGUUUUGCAUAUUCGUGCACAUUUGGUGUACUUGUCCGUGUGGUGGGUUAACAUCAAUUUCGGUCGUCAUAAAAUGACUGGAGGAAUGUAGCUUUGGUCUCGUAUCGAAGUGUUAUAGACUCUGGUAGAUGUGACGAUUGGGGAUUGAGGUAUUGCAACGGAUACCCGUUCGGGGCUACCUGUCUGAUCUCUGAACGUUGCUCUGGUGUCGAAGCUUGCUUACGGUUAUCAAAGUCG